rnacentral:rRNA from 1 species
CCUACGGGAGGCAGCAGUGAGGAAUAUUGGUCAAUGGCCGGAAGGCUGAACCAGCCAUGCCGCGUGAAGGUCAGUGCCCUAUGGGCGUUAAACUUCUUUUGUGCGGGAGCAAUAAUGGUCACGUGUGGCCAGACGAGAGUACCGUACGAAUAAGCAUCGGCUAACUCCGUGCCAGCAGCCGCGGUAAUACGGGGGAUGCAAGCGUUAUCCGGAUUUAUUGGGUUUAAAGGGUGCGUAGGCUGUGAGGUAAGUCAGCGGUGAAAUGCCUCCGCUCAACGGGGUGAAGUGCAAUUGAUACUGCCUGGCUGGAAUGCGGAUGCCGUAGGAGGAAUGUGUGGUGUAGCGGUGAAAUGCAUAGAUAUCACAAAGAACACCGAUUGCGAAGGCAUCUCACGAAUCCGCGAUUGACGCUGAUGCACGAAAGCGUGGGUAUCAAACAGGAUUAGAUACCCGGGUAGUC